CCUACGGGUGGCAGCAGUGGGGAAUUUUGGACAAUGGGCGCAAGCCUGAUCCAGCUAUUCCGCGUGUGGGAUGAAGGCCCUCGGGUUGUAAACCACUUUUGUAGAGAACGAAAAGACACCUUUUAAUAAAGGGUGUUGCUGACGGUACUCUAAGAAUAAGCACCGGCUAACUACGUGCCAGCAGCCGCGGUAAUACGUAGGGUGCGAGCGUUAAUCGGAAUUACUGGGCGUAAAGGGUGCGCAGGCGGUUGAGUAAGACAGAUGUGAAAUCCCCGAGCUUAACUCGGGAAUGGCAUAUGUGACUGCUCGACUAGAGUGUGUCAGAGGGAGGUGGAAUUCCACGUGUAGCAGUGAAAUGCGUAGAUAUGUGGAAGAACUCCGAUUGCGAAGGCAGCAUACCGGCGCGCAACUGACGCUCAUGCACGAAAGCGUGGGUAUCGAACAGGAUUAGAUACCCCUGUAGUC
rnacentral:rRNA from 1 species